rnacentral:lncRNA from 1 species
UUGCCUAGGCUGGAUUGCAGCGGUGCGAUCAGGACUCAUUGCAUCCUCAACCUCCCCGACUCAAGCAGUCCUCCCACCUCAGCCUCCUGAGUAGCAAGGCUACAGAGACCUGGGGGAUUUUAGAACAGGGCUUUCAAGGUAAUGAAGGAAGAGAAUCUUCUUUGGACUUCUUUUUGCUCCAGAUGCGGAGAAGGCAACUUCCCGGAGUCUCUACCAGUGAGAAGGCUACAGAAUCACGGGCCGAUGGGGUCUCACUGUGUUGCCCAGGCUGGUCUCAAACUACAGUGGCUCAAACAAUCCUUCCAGUACUGCCUCCCGAGGUGCUGGGAUUAUAAGCGUGAGCCACAGCACCUGGCCACAGAGUACAUUUUAAAUGUCUUAAUAAAACGUGACAGAAAGUCUAGGUAGAAAGCAGCUAUCUUUGAUGACAGAAUGAUAAAGAGAGAUGUCACCUUCUAUGUAAUAUCACUUGGAUACUGAAACUUCUCCAUGAACUGGAAGAAUGUAUGCUUCACUGUGGUAAACAGAAUUUCUAAAAUGACCUCUUCCUCCCUGAGAUAUCCUGACAUAAUACCCUAAAUUUGUAAA